rnacentral:rRNA from 1 species
AUAUGCUUGUCUCAAAGAUUAAGCCAUGCAUGUCUAAGUAUAAGCAAUUUAUACAGUGAAACUGCGAAUGGCUCAUUAAAUCAGUUAUCGUUUAUUUGAUAGUUCCUUUACUACAUGGUAUAACUGUGGUAAUUCUAGAGCUAAUACAUGCUUAAAAUCUCGACCCUUUGGAAGAGAUGUAUUUAUUAGAUAAAAAAUCAAUGUCUUCGGACUCUUUGAUGAUUCAUAAUAACUUUUCGAAUCGCAUGGCCUUGUGCUGGCGAUGGUUCAUUCAAAUUUCUGCCCUAUCAACUUUCGAUGGUAGGAUAGUGGCCUACCAUGGUUUCAACGGGUAACGGGGAAUAAGGGUUCGAUUCCGGAGAGGGAGCCUGAGAAACGGCUACCACAUCCAAGGAAGGCAGCAGGCGCGCAAAUUACCCAAUCCUAAUUCAGGGAGGUAGUGACAAUAAAUAACGAUACAGGGCCCAUUCGGGUCUUGUAAUUGGAAUGAGUACAAUGUAAAUACCUUAACGAGGAACAAUUGGAGGGCAAGUCUGGUGCCAGCAGCC